AGACGUAUGUUAGAAACAGAGCCAACUAUUCUUUUGCCUUUUACUAAAGAAAAUAGUGUUUCUGACACUUUAUGCAUCAUACAUCAAUUUUUGGAAUUCUUAUUAUUUAGGAC